ACGUAUCUCCGAGUUCACCGAGUCCGUCGACGAAUAGGAGUAGUGACUGGUCGACACAGCCAUCGACGUACCUGUUCGACACAGAGAGCGGAUGCUUCGCACCACAAGAACAGACCACAUCGUAAACCACGAUAUCCCAACGUGAUCGAGAGUCCUCACCAUUCAGGGCAGGGA
rnacentral:ncRNA from 1 species